AUGGUGAUGCCCUCAGGCUUGAGGGUUGGGGCGGAGGGGGUGCUCGGGCAGGCGGCGCCGGCACCUACCUCACCCGGCCUCCUGUCAGUUCGCCGUGGGAGCCUUCCGCCGCUGCCUCCUGCGAGUGGCGCUACUCGGGAGGAGGUUAUUGCUUUCGGCGGGAUCCCUGACCCAGUCUCUGAGGGGAGACGGAUGAGUUCUCGUCUCCAGGACCACCCGGAGGUUGAUGACAUGCAGCAGAGGUGCGCUAUGAGGGCGGCCAAGCUUCGUGACAUUGAGGUCACUACCGGUAUGUCAGUCAACUUAUCCAAUUCUAUUUUGCAUUUUUCUACGGAUGAGAUUAUUCAUAAUGCAAAUCAAGUAGGGGUUUCGCUAGGGAAUACCAAUUCUAAAAUUUCCAACUCGGUUAAUGAUCCCCUUGAUCUGGAAGCGGAACGGCUUUAG
rnacentral:rRNA from 1 species